GUAUACGUGAAAACUAUUUUGCAGAAUAAGCCUUCAGUUACCGCUUCCGUUUCAUACUCAGCGACAGUCGCUAUGGUAGUUUAAAGCAAUGCAGCGGUUCAUUCAUUUGCAUUUCUAACUCACCGCGUUCAAGUGCAUUCCGCCUUGGCAGUUCAGCGAUAGUAAAUGUUGGUCGCGCAACUAAUGAACUUACUCCGGUCGGUCCCUCCACAGGUGAUACAUAUAUCAAGCGAAAUAGCUUUUUUUUGUGUGAGCCGGAAAGGCCGGAAAGUAGCGUAAAUGUUUGUUGCCGUGCAGGCUUAAGUACCAAAACGUGUCGUCUUUGUGAAUGGCCGUGUUAUUUAUGCAGGUGAAAAGUAUUUAAACAACGUAUUGUUUUUAUUGCCCGUUCGAAUAUGGGUCUUUCUCGCAAUUGUACGGAAGGGAUCAUCUUCGUGGCAGCAACUGCAGAACUGGCUGUUUCUAAAAUAUUUAAUUUGCAUUGUAACAUUUAAUUACUAUUGGAAACACAAACGUUUGUGUAUUUAAUACUUACGAAACGUACUAAACCGGAGAUGGCCAGUGAUUACUUGCCACUUGCCACUUGCGAUGCGUAGAAAUCUCACAACAAAAAUAGGGCCGAAAGCAAAACAAAACACAAACUGCGUAUCAAGAGCAACAUUUCAAUAGGACCCAAGUGCAAAAUAUAAAAAAACUGGUUUUUUGGUUAUAUUUAAAGCUUUUUUAAGUAUCUAUAGUAAAUACAAAACAUCAUAGUGAUUUAAAAACUAUAUAGGUCUUAAAAAGCAAAUUUGAAAAAGCCUUAUGUGAAAACUGGCAACAAAGUUUUCAUUUUGUGCUUCGGCUUCGGCAAGUGGCAAGUGGCAAGUAAUCACUGGCCAUCUCCGGUUUAGUACGUUUCAAACAGCCAGUUCUGCAGUUGCUGCCACGAAGAUGAUCCCUUCCGUACAAUUGCGAGAAAGACCCAUAUUCGAACGGGCAAUAAAAACAAUACGUUGUUUAAAUACUUUUCACCUGCAUAAAUAACACGGCCAUUCACAAAGACGACACGUUUUGGUACUUAAGCCUGCACGGCAACAAACAUUUACGCUACUUUCCGGCCUUUCCGGCUCACACAAAAAAAAGCUAUUUCGCUUGAUAUAUGUAUCACCUGUGGAGGGACCGACCGGAGUAAGUUCAUUAGUUGCGCGACCAACAUUUACUAUCGCUGAACUGCCAAGGCGGAAUGCACUUGAACGCGGUGAGUUAGAAAUGCAAAUGAAUGAACCGCUGCAUUGCUUUAAACUACCAUAGCGACUGUCGCUGAGUAUGAAACGGAAGCGGUAACUGAAGGCUUAUUCUGCAAAAUAGUUUUCACGUAUACAGAAAAAUAUCCACACACUAUCACCUUUGCUAGAAAUUAAAGAUCCAGAAAAUUUUCGAGAUGAUUAUAAAGAGGACACAUCAAACAUCGGUGGAUGUCGUUCAUGACGUGGAAUCUUAAUUUGAGCUAGAAGAUUGCUGCUAAUAGUCGUAAACUAACUGGAAAGGAAAUUGUUAUUGUAUGAUAAUACGCUGACCGGGUCGGAUUUUAAGUUCCUGAUAGACCCGGUGAACUGAUUAAAAAUGUACGGAUAGAUGAUUCGCUUUUGCAGCAUAUUGAGGCUCUGGAAAAUCCGAUCGAAUGACGGCGAUGAAAAAUAUGUGUCGAAAGCUUUUGAUUGGCGUUGAUGAAAGAACAAUGAUUUAGAAAAUUGUCAAUUUCUCAAUAAGAAUGCCAAAAUAAACAUUUUUUCUUGAAGAA